GUGGGGAAUAUUGGACAAUGGGCGAAAGCCUGAUCCAGCCAUGCCGCGUGUGUGAAGAAGGUCUUCGGAUUGUAAAGCACUUUAAGUUGGGAGGAAGGGCAGUAAGUUAAUACCUUGCUGUUUUGACGUUACCAACAGAAUAAGCACCGGCUAACUUCGUGCCAGCAGCCGCGGUAAUACGAAGGGUGCAAGCGUUAAUCGGAAUUACUGGGCGUAAAGCGCGCGUAGGUGGUUCAGCAAGUGGAAGGUGAAAUCCCCGGGCGCAACCUGGGAACUGCCUCCAAAACUACUGAGCUAGAGUACGGUAGAGGGUAGUGGAAUUUCCUGUGUAGCGGUGAAAUGCGUAGAUAUAGGAAGGAACACCAGUGGCGAAGGCGACUACCUGGACUGAUACUGACACUGAGGUGCGAAAGCGUGGGGAGCAAACAGGAUUAGAUACCCGAGUAGUCC
rnacentral:rRNA from 1 species